GCCGCGAUUCGCCCUUCGGGGUGCGCAGGCGCGAAAACUUUACAAUGCUGGCAACAGCGAUAAGGGGACCUCGAGUGCCAGGAUACAAUCUUGGCUGUCGCGAUGCCUAAAAAGCAUUGCAUAGCAAGGGCCGGGCAAGACCGGUGCCAGCCGCCGCGGUAACACCGGCGGCUCGAGUGGUAACCGCUAUUAUUGGGUCUAAAGGGUCUGUAGCCGGCCGGAUAAGUCUUUUGGGAAAUCCAGCUGCUCAACAGUUGGGCUUUCAGAAGAUACUGUUCGGCUCGAGACCGGGAGAGGUGAGAGGUACUUCAGGGGUAGGGGUGAAAUCUUGUAAUCCUUGAAGGACCACCAGUGGCGAAGGCGUCUCACCAGAACGGAUCUGACGGCAAGGGACGAAAGCUAGGGGCACGAACCGGAUUAGAUACCCGGGUAGUCCUAGCCGUAAACGAUACUCGCUAGGUGUCAGCCACGGUGCGACCGUGGUUGGUGCCGUAGGGAAGCCGUGAAGCGAGCCACCUGGGAAGUACGGCCGCAAGGCUGAAACUUAAAGGAAUUGGCGGGGGAGCAC
rnacentral:rRNA from 1 species